rnacentral:rRNA from 1 species
GACUCCUACGGGAGGCAGCAGUAGGGAAUAUUGGGCAAUGGGCGCAAGCCUGACCCAGCGACGCCGCGUGAGGGAUGAAGGUCUUCGGAUUGUAAACCUCUUUCAGUAGGGAAGAAGCGAAAGUGACGGUACCUAAAGAAGAAGCACCGGCUAACU